GGUUGUACUUCGGUACAACCUUAGCGGCGGACGGGUGAGUAACGCGUGGGCGACCUGCCUUAUACAGGGGGAUAACAGUGAGAAAUCACUGCUAAUACCGCAUAAGACCACAGUGCUGCAUGGCACAGAGGUAAAAGGAGUAAUCCAGUAUAAGAUGGGCCCGCGUCUGAUUAGCUAGUUGGAGAGGUAACGGCUCACCAAGGCGACGAUCAGUAGCCGACCUGAGAGGGUGAUCGGCCACAUUGGGACUGAGACACGGCCCAAACUCCUACGGGAGGCAGCAGUGGGGAAUAUUGCACAAUGGGGGAAACCCUGAUGCAGCAACGCCGCGUGAAGGAAGACGGUUUUCGGAUUGUAAACUUCUAUCGACGGGGAAGAAAAAAAUGACAGUACCCGAGUAAGAAGCCCCGGCUAACUACGUGCCAGCAGCCGCGGUAAUACGUAGGGGGCAAGCGUUAUCCGGAAUCACUGGGUGUAAAGGGUGCGUAGGCGGUUAUGUAAGUCAGAUGUGAAAUACCGAAGCUCAACUUCGGGGCUGCAUUUGAAACUGUGUGACUAGAGUACAGGAGAGGUAAGUGGAAUUCCUAGUGUAGCGGUGAAAUGCGUAGAUAUUAGGAAGAACACCAGUGGCGAAGGCGACUUACUGGACUGAAACUGACGCUGAGGCACGAAAGCGUGGGGAGCAAACAGGAUUAGAUACCCUGGUAGUCCACGCUGUAAACGAUGAAUGCUAGGUGUUGGCGGGAGACCGUCGGUGCCGCAGUUAACACAAUAAGCAUUCCACCUGGGGAGUACGAUCG
rnacentral:rRNA from 1 species